rnacentral:misc_RNA from 1 species
GAUGAAGAACGUAGUGAAAUGCGAUAAGUAAUGUGAAUUGCAGAAUUCAGUGAAUCAUCGAAUCUUUGAACGCACCUUGCGCUCCUUGGUAUUCCGAGGAGCAUGCCUGUUUGAGUGUCAUUAAUAUAUCAACCUUCACUUGUUGAAUGGUUUGGAUGUGGGGGUUUGCUGGUCUCUUAAAGGGUUCAGCUCCUCUAAAAUGCAUUAGCAGAACAAUCUGUUCAUUGGUGUGAUAACUAUCUACGCUCUUGAAUAAGAUGCAGUUCAGCUUUCUAACUGUCCUCGGACAAUUUAUCAUUUAUGUGACCUCAAAUCAGGUAGGACUACCCGCUGAACUUAAGCAUAUCAAUAAGCGGAGGA